CCAGACUGGAACUGAGACACGGUCCAGACUCCUACGGGAGGCAGCAGUGAGGAAUAUUUCACAAUGAGCGAAAGCUUGAUGGAGCAAUGCCGCGUGCAGGAUGAAGGCCCUCGGGUUGUAAACUGCUUUUAUAAGAGAAGAUUAUGACGGUAACUUAUGAAUAAGGGACGGCUAACUACGUGCCAGCAGCCGCGGUCAUACGUAGGUCCCGAGCGUUAUCCGGAGUGACUGGGCGUAAAGAGUUGCGUAGGCGGUCAAGUUAGCGAGCGAUGAAAACUAUCGGCUCAACCGAUAGCUUGUUGUUCGAACUGCUUGACUCGAGAGUAUCAGAGGUCGCUGGAAUUCCUAGUGUAGCAGUGAAAUGCGUAGAUAUUAGGAAGAACACCGAUGGCGUAGGCAGGCGACUGGGAUAUUUCUGACGCUAAGGCACGAAAGCGUGGGUAGCGAACCGGAUUAGAUACCCGGGUAGUCCACGCCGUAAACGAUGGAUGCUAAUUGUUUGAGGUAUCGACCCCUCGAGUAAUAAAGCUAACGCGUUAAGCAUCCCGCCUGUGGAGUACGGCCGCAAGGCUAAAACAUAAAGGAAUUGACGGGGACCCGCACAAGCGGUGGAUCGUGUUCUUUAAUUCGAUGCUAAACGAAGAACCUUACCAGGGCUUGACAUCCAGGGAAUUUUUGGGAAACCAAUUAGUGCCGUUUGGAACCCUGUGACAGGUGAUGCAUGGCCGUCGUCAGCUCGUGUCGUGAGAUGUUUGGUUAAGUCCAUCAACGAGCGCAACCCUUGUCGUCAGUUGUAUUUUUCUGGCGAGACUGCCCCGGUAACGGGGAGGAAGGAGGGGAUGAUGUCUGGUCAGUAUUGGUCUUACGCCCUGGGCUAGAAACGUCCUACAAUGGUCGGUACAAUGGGCAGCCAACCCGUGAGGGGGAGCAAAUCCCAUCAAAGCCGGUCUCAGUUCGGAUUGCAGGCUGAAACUCGCCUGCAUGAAGUCGGAAUCGCUAGUAAUCGCAAAUCAGCAAGUUGCGGUGAAUACGUUCCCGGGUCUUGUACACACCGCCCGUCAAACCAUGAAAGUGACCAACACCCGAAGUCCGAUUCGUCGGCCUAAGGUGGGGGGCAUGAUUGGGGUUAAGUCGUAACAAGGUAUCCGUACCGGAAGGUGCGGAUG
rnacentral:rRNA from 1 species